GUAAGGACCUUGUUAAAACGCAGUUUCUGACUCAGUAGUGUGAAUGGGGCCAGAAUGCUGCAUUUCUAACACUCUCCCAGAUGGUGCCAAUGUUCCUCAUCCACAGACCACAGCUGAAGUAGCAACUAUGUAAACCUCAGGCUACUCAUCACAGUGCAGAGUGAUUUCACCUAAAGGCACAACAGCAGCUGAUUGCCACAAUACAAACAAGAGCCGCCACUUACUGACAGCAGCUACGUGCCAGGUAAGUCAAAUGAGGAAGAACACCUUCAGUGUGGGGGAGAAAUGGGUCUUCAACGUCAUCUUAGACCAGUGGCUCUCAAAGUAUAUAACAGCAGCGUCAACAUCAGCAUUAUCUGGGAACGUGUUGGAGAUGUGAAUUCUUGGGUUCCACUUCAGACAACGAAUCAGAAAUUCUGGGGGGAAGCCUCAUUUCUGUUCACCAGGCCUUUCGAUGAUUUAAUCAGGCCCUCCAGGAUUAUCUAGGAUAAUAUUCCUUACUUAAAUCCAACUGAAUAUGAGUUUUCAUACAUCUACAAAUACCCUCAAAGCAAAAUCUAAAUUAGUACUUAAAGGAAUAUUUGUGGACUGUAGCCUGGUCAAGUUGACACAUAAAGUUGACCAUCAUGGAGCGUCAGAAGAAAUAUCUCUCUGAAGACAGCUGUCUGCUCACCAAGAAGAGGACCCUCAUCAGACACUGGAUCUACUGGCAUCUUGAUCUUGGAUUUUCUAGCCUCUUUAACUGUGAGAAAUAAAAUGUUUAAG
rnacentral:lncRNA from 10 species